AGCAAACUAGAGACACGAUGAGAGAAGUAAUACAAAACAAUAACGCCUUGGAAAACAAAUAUGGCAGGAAAUAUGUAAAGUCACAAAGGGUUUAGAGAUAUAUACGAAGAUGGAACGUAGAACGGAAGAUUCUUCAGAUACUGGUACCUUUCAUUUCUAAUCUGAGAAAUAUCACAGGACUGACAAAACUACAUUAAGGACUGCACACCAGAGGACAUGCAGAAAAACAGGCCCUCCUUGUGGAACAUCGUGAAUGGAAAGCCCGCCUCCCCACGCUGGAAAUCGUUGUUACCGAGAAACGUUAAUAAUAAAGACUUGUGUCCCCCCAAAUUCCUCGAACGUCUGAGAAUAUGCCAGAGGCAAUAGACUGACCACAGAAGGGGAUUGUCCUUCAACUCUUGGUCAAAUUCCGCUUCUACACCAUGGAGGAAAUUUAUCAGAUUUUUUGUUUUUACAAAUUGUGCUUCCAAAUGUGUAUUAGCAUAAGUAUCGCUCAUCCUUUUUUUUUUUUUAAAUCAAAUUGUACUUUCAGUGAUUGCUUUUCUGGAUCCACCUCCUUUACAAGCUCAAGUACCACAAGGCUCAGCCAUAGGUCCACUGCUCUUCUCUAUCUAUAUCACUUCUCUUGGAAAACUAAUAAACUCAUCUCGAUUUGGGCAUAA